rnacentral:rRNA from 1 species
CGACGAACCGGACAAACGUUAUUCGGAAUCAUUGGGCUUAAAGGGUGCGUAGGCGGUGCGGAAAGUUGGGUGUGAAAUCCCUCGGCUCAACCGAGGAACUGCGCUCAAAACUUCCGUGCUAGAGUGAGACAGAGGUGAGCGGAACUGAUGGUGGAGCGGUGAAAUGCGUUGAUAUCAUCAGGAACACCGGUGGCGAAGGCGGCUCACUGGGUCUCUACUGACGCUGAGGCACGAAAGCUAAGGUAGCGAACAGGAUUAGAAACCCUAGUAGUCC